AACGCGAAGAACCUUACCUACCCUUGACAUGUCUGGAAUGCCGAAGAGAUUUGGCAGUGCUCGCAAGAGAACCGGAACACAGGUGCUGCAUGGCUGUCGUCAGCUCGUGUCGUGAGAUGUUGGGUUAAGUCCCGCAACGAGCGCAACCCUUGUCAUUAGUUGCUACGAAAGGGCACUCUAAUGAGACUGCCGGUGACAAACCGGAGGAAGGUGGGGAUGACGUCAAGUCCUCAUGGCCCUUAUGGGUAGGGCUUCACACGUCAUACAAUGGUCGGGACAGAGGGUCGCCAACCCGCGAGGGGGAGCCAAUCCCAGAAACCCGAUCGUAGUCCGGAUCGCAGUCUGCAACUCGACUGCGUGAAGUCGGAAUCGCUAGUAAUCGCGGAUCAGCAUGUCGCGGUGAAUACGUUCCCGGGCCUUGUACACACCG
rnacentral:rRNA from 1 species